CAUCCUGGCAACUGGCAAAGAGACACCUUGUUGGUGAUGUUGGUCUUCUAUCAGUCAAGGGCAGAGCAGAUGGCAGUCUUUGUUCACCCUAGCUUAAUGCCUAGUUUAGUGACCAAAGCUAUCUUAUGCCUUGAAGUCAUAA